rnacentral:rRNA from 1 species
GUCCACGCUGUAAACGAUGGGCACUAGGUGUUCGGGGUAUUGACCCCCUGAGUGCCGCAGCUAACGCAUUAAGUGCCCCGCCUGGGGACUACGGCCGCAAGGUUAAAACUCAAAGGAAUUGACGGGGGCCCGCACAAGCGGUGGAGCAUGUGGUUCAAUUCGACGCAACGCGAAGAACCUUACCUGGGCUAGACAACAUCGGACAGCCCCAGAAAUGGGGUCUUCCCGCAAGGGACCGGUGGUUCAGGUGCUGCAUGGCUGUCGU